rnacentral:misc_RNA from 1 species
GAUGAAGAACGCAGCGAAAUGCGAUACGUAAUGUGAAUUGCAAAUUCAGUGAAUCAUCGAGUCUUUGAACACACAUUGCGCCCCCUGGUAUUCCGGGGGGCAUUCCUGUCCGAGCGUCAUUGCUGCCCUCAAGCACGGCUUGUGUGUUGGGCCCCGUCCUCCGAUCCCGGGGGACGGGCCCGAAAGGCAGCGGCGGCACCGCGUCCGGUCCUCGAGCGUAUGGGGCUUUGUCACCCGCUCUGUAGGCCCGGCCGGCGCUUGCCGAUCAACCCAAAUUUUUAUCCAGGUUGACCUCGGAUCAGGUAGGGAUACCCGCUGAACUUAAGCAUAUCAAUAAGCGGAGGA